UACGGGGGGAGCAAGCGUUGUUCGGAUUUACUGGGCGUAAAGGGCGCGUAGGCGGUCAGCACAAGUCAGUUGUGAAUCUCCGGGCUUAACUCGGAAAGGUCAACUGAUACUGUGCGACUAGAGUGGCAGAAGGGGCAACUGGAAUUCUCGGUGUAGCGGUGAAAUGCGUAGAUAUCGAGAGGAACACCUGCGGCGAAGGCGGGUUGCUGGGCUGACACUGACGCUGAUGCGCGAAAGCCAGGGGAGCGAACGGG
rnacentral:rRNA from 1 species